rnacentral:lncRNA from 1 species
GGGGUUUAUCCUAAAAAGCAAACUGGAAGCUCUGGGAGGGAUCACAAGCUCCCAAAAGCUCAGUGCAGAAAAAAAUCCAUGAGGUCAGCCUGUUCUUCCUGCUGCUAUUGCAAAAUUUUUUCAGUGUAACUUGCAGAUGCAGAAGUUGUUGUGAAAUCUCCCUCCUGCUACAGCAGGCUGAGCUCACGGUCCCUGGCUGGGUAUUUUUAAAAUACACAGAGGUAAAAGCAGGAUAUUUUUAGAAGUCCUACGGGUCCACCAGCUGAUACACAUAAGGAGUCCAUUGGUGCGAUAUCUGUGGUGUGCUGGUGCCUGGUGUUGCUUUGCUCCUUGUGCAGGGGUGUGCAAUGAGUGCUCAGUUCGCCAAGGCUACAAGACAGUGAAAACGCCAGCUGAGCUGCUGUGCAAUGCCAACAGCCAGUUUUUAAGGGAGCUAGGACCCUAUGCAUACAGGUUAAAGUCUUGUUCUGGGGCUGAAAUGUAGCAGGGAAGUACGUGAGCUCUGCUUCUGCACGGAUGCUCACUUUGGUUAUAGCGGUUUUAACACACCAAGGUUGGCAAAUUCCCUUGUGUGCCCAAGCCUUUAGCCUUCUUCUGCUGUACUGGCUACCAGGAAAAUGAGAAUGACUAUCCCUUGUCUCACAUGCCGCUUGAUGCACGUAUCCAGAUCACCGAUUCCCUGCCAGAGCCGCCCAGCUCCAGGUGACAACGGCCGUGGGAGCAGCGCAGCUGCAGGCAGCGCCCACCCCGCGCGGGUGUCACAAUGCGCUGCGGGGCGCCCGCGGGGUGAGCGCUGGCGGGAUGCUGGGCUCAGGAUGUGCUCUGGUGGGACCGGGGAUGGGGUGGGAGAGGUGGUGACACGGGCACAGCAUCCGCCGGGGUGCCCUGUUUGCCACGAGGAAGAGGAGGGUCUGAGCGUUGGGCAGAUGGGGGCAGAGAGGGUGCCACCGAGCACCCAGGGCGUUGCUUCCCUGGGCAGCUCUGGCUGCUUGUCCCCCUUUAUGAGCCCAACAUCUCGUUGUGGAUGUGUGGCUGUGCUUGCAGCAGUUCCUUGCUGCUCCGGGGGGCAUUUUGAGCAAGCUCUGCCCCUCUCGCUGUCAGAACACCCUCACACCCUCCUGGGGGGCUCUGGGUGCUGCCCAGCUGGGUGCCUGGCGCUGCUCCCUAGCGCAUCUCUGCGUGGGACGUGGCUUCCCCAAAAUGAGUGA